rnacentral:rRNA from 1 species
AGUGAACGCUGGCGGUAGGCCUAACACAUGCAAGUCGAACGGCAGCACAGUAAGAGCUUGCUCUUACGGGUGGCGAGUGGCGGACGGGUGAGGAAUACAUCGGAAUCUACUUUUUCGUGGGGGAUAACGUAGGGAAACUUACGCUAAUACCGCAUACGACCUACGGGUGAAAGCAGGGGAUCUUCGGACCUUGCGCGAUUGGAUGAGCCGAUGUCGGAUUAGCUAGUUGGCGGGGGAAAGGCCCACCAAGGCGACGAUCCGUAGCUGGUCUGAGAGGAUGGUCAGCCACCCUGGAACUGGGCCACGGUCCAGACUCCUACGGGAGGCAGCAGUGGGGAAUAUUGGACAAUGGGCGCAAGCCUGAUCCAGCCAUACCGCGUGGGUGGAGAAGGCCUUCGGGUUGUAAAGCCCUUUUGUUGGGAAAGAAAAGCAGCAGGUUAAUACCCCGCUGUUCUGACGGUACCCAAUGAAUAAGCACCGGCUAACUUCGUG